GAGUCUGAGCUACUGGAGCCUUCCCCUUGGUGAACCCUGAACGGGUGGUGCUGCAUGAAUUUGUCUUGGAAUGGGACUCUGAGUCAGGUCCGGGGGAGGAAACAUUUCACUGAUGGGACAACAUGUUGGAGCAUCUUCUGAGAGUCAAAAUCCCCGGCCUGCAAAGCCCUGGUGCCAGGGUAGUGUGA